rnacentral:lncRNA from 1 species
AUUAAGAAGGGCCAGUCAGGACAGGUGAUGCUGGCAGGAAGGGAGCCAGCCUGCGACGUGCUGGGAAGACAGGCAGAGAGACUAUACGUUCAAAGGGUGUGAGGCAGGCAUGAGUUUGCAGAAAGUGUGCCAAGGGCCUGGAGCAGAGCAUCAGUGCUAUUCUGGAGGCCCAAAUCACACCUGAUUCCGUGAAAGAAACUCUGUGCUGGCCAGAAGACGCACUCACUCUCCAGGCUUUCCUGCAUGGG